UACGGAGGAUGCAAGCGUUAUCCGGAAUGCUUGGGCGUAAAGCGUCCGCAGGUGGCUGUGUAAGUCUGCUGUUAAAUAGUGAGGCUCAACCUCAUAAAGGCAGUGGAAACUACACGGCUAGAGUGCGUUCGGGGCAGAGGGAAUUCCUGGUGUAGCGGUGGAAUGCGUAGAGAUCAGGAAGAACACCGGUGGCGAAAGCGCUCUGCUAGGCCGCAACUGACACUGAGGGACGAAAGCUAGGGGAGCGAAUGGG
rnacentral:rRNA from 1 species